CAAUAGCGUAUAUUUAAGUUGUUGCAGUUAAAAAGCUCGUAGUUGGAUUUCGGUUAAGAGCGACCGGUCCGCCGUUUGGUGUGCACUGGUUGGUUUUAACUUCCUGUAGAGGACGUGCUCUGGGUUUAACGACCUGGACUCGGAGUCUACGUGGUUACUUUGAAAAAAUUAGAGUGUUCAAAGCGGGCUUACGCUUGAAUAUUUCAGCAUGGAAUAACACUAUAGGACUCCUGUCCUAUUUCGUUGGUCUCGGGACGGGAGUAAUGAUUAAGAGGAACAGUUGGAGGCAUUCGUAUUUCAUUGUCAGAGGUGAAAUUCUUGGAUUUAUGAAAGACGAACUUCUGCGAAAGCAUUUGCCAAGGAUGUUUUCAUUAA
rnacentral:rRNA from 1 species